GAUGAACGCUGGCGGCGUGCCUAAUACAUGCAAGUCGAGCGAACGGACGAGAAGCUUGCUUCUCUGAUGUUAGCGGCGGACGGGUGAGUAACACGUGGAUAACCUACCUAUAAGACUGGGAUAACUUCGGGAAACCGGAGCUAAUACCGGAUAAUAUUUUGAACCGCAUGGUUCAAAAGUGAAAGACGGUCUUGCUGUCACUUAUAGAUGGAUCCGCGCUGCAUUAGCUAGUUGGUAAGGUAACGGCUUACCAAGGCAACGAUGCAUAGCCGACCUGAGAGGGUGAUCGGCCACACUGGAACUGAGACACGGUCCAGACUCCUACGGGAGGCAGCAGUAGGGAAUCUUCCGCAAUGGGCGAAAGCCUGACGGAGCAACGCCGCGUGAGUGAUGAAGGUCUUCGGAUCGUAAAACUCUGUUAUUAGGGAGGAACAUAUGUGUAAGUAACUGUGCACAUCCUGACGGUACCUAAUCAGAAAGCCACGGCUAACUACGUG
rnacentral:rRNA from 1 species